AGAGUUUGAUCCUGGCUCAGGAUGAACGCUAGCUACAGGCUUAACACAUGCAAGUCGAGGGGCAGCAUGGUCUUAGCUUGCUAAGGCCGAUGGCGACCGGCGCACGGGUGAGUAACACGUAUCCAACCUGCCGUCUACUCUUGGACAGCCUUCUGAAAGGAAGAUUAAUACAAGAUGGCAUCAUGAGUCCGCAUGUUCACAUGAUUAAAGGUAUUCCGGUAGACGAUGGGGAUGCGUUCCAUUAGAUAGUAGGCGGGGUAACGGCCCACCUAGUCUUCGAUGGAUAGGGGUUCUGAGAGGAAGGUCCCCCACAUUGGAACUGAGACACGGUCCAAACUCCUACGGGAGGCAGCAGUGAGGAAUAUUGGUCAAUGGACGAGAGUCUGAACCAGCCAAGUAGCGUGAAGGAUGACUGCCCUAUGGGUUGUAAACUUCUUUUAUACGGGAAUAAAGUUAGCCACGUGUGGUUUUUUGUAUGUACCGUAUGAAUAAGGAUCGGCUAACUCCGUGCCAGCAGCCGCGGUAAUACGGAGGAUCCGAGCGUUAUCCGGAUUUAUUGGGUUUAAAGGGAGCGUAGAUGGGUUGUUAAGUCAGUUGUGAAAGUUUGCGGCUCAACCGUAAAAUUGCAGUUGAUACUGGAUAUCUUGAGUGCAGUUGAGGCAGGCGGAAUUCGUGGUGUAGCGGUGAAAUGCUUAGAUAUCACGAAGAACUCCGAUUGCGAAGGCAGCUUACUGGAUUGUAACUGACGCUGAUGCUCGAAAGUGUGGGUAUCAAACAGGAUUAGAUACCCUGGUAGUCCACACGGUAAACGAUGAAUACUCGCUGUUUGCGAUAUACUGCAAGCGGCCAAGCGAAAGCGUUAAGUAUUCCACCUGGGGAGUACGCCGGCAACGGUGAAACUCAAAGGAAUUGACGGGGGCCCGCACAAGCGGAGGAACAUGUGGUUUAAUUCGAUGAUACGCGAGGAACCUUACCCGGGCUUAAAUUGCAGAUGAAUUACGGUGAAAGCCGUAAGCCGCAAGGCAUCUGUGAAGGUGCUGCAUGGUUGUCGUCAGCUCGUGCCGUGAGGUGUCGGCUUAAGUGCCAUAACGAGCGCAACCCUUGUUGUCAGUUACUAACAGGUUCCGCUGAGGACUCUGACAAGACUGCCAUCGUAAGAUGUGAGGAAGGUGGGGAUGACGUCAAAUCAGCACGGCCCUUACGUCCGGGGCUACACACGUGUUACAAUGGGGGGUACAGAGGGCUGCUACCACGCAAGUGGAUGCCAAUCCCAAAAACCUCUCUCAGUUCGGAUUGAAGUCUGCAACCCGACUUCAUGAAGCUGGAUUCGCUAGUAAUCGCGCAUCAGCCACGGCGCGGUGAAUACGUUCCCGGGCCUUGUACACACCGCCCGUCAAGCCAUGGGAGCCGGGGGUACCUGAAGUGCGUAACCGCAAGGAGCGCCCUAGGGUAAAACUGGUGAUUGGGGCUAAGUCGUAACAAGGUAGCCGUACCGGAAGGUGCGGCUG
rnacentral:rRNA from 1 species